rnacentral:rRNA from 1 species
UCUUGAAAAAUUAGCAUGUGUGGCGGCGAAAUAUAUAGACAGAGAAAUAUGCUACUAAUCGAAACUGCGCGAUUAAUCUUACCAAAUUUUGAAAUUCAUUUUGCACACAGCCGUCGGAAGAAUAAAUUUAAUAGUUUAUUCUAUUUCUCAUGGAAAAUUUUAUUUUAAAGAUUUAAGUCAGGUCAAUGUGCAGACUAUAAUUUGGAAAAAAGUGUAUCUCAUUGUAAAUUACUAAGUGUCUUAAAUAUAAGAAUUAUAUUUAAUUAACAGAAUUUGUAAGUAA